rnacentral:rRNA from 1 species
CYGYUGAACUUAAGCAUAUCAAUAAGCGGAGGAAAAGAAACCARCAGGGAUUGCCUCAGUAACGGCGAGUGAAGCGGCAACAGCUCAAAUUUUAAAGCUGGCGCCUUCGGCGCACGCGUUGUAAUUUGGAGAGGCAUCUUCGGUUCGGGCGCCAGCCUAUGUUCCUUGGAACAGGACGUCACAGAGGGUGAGAAUCCCGUGCCUGGCUGGCUGUCCCGACCCAUGUGAAGCGCCUUCGACGAGUCGAGUUGUUUGGGAAUGCAGCUCAAAAUGGGUGGUAAAUUUCAUCUAAAGCUAAAUAUUGGCGGGAGACCGAUAGCGCACAAGUAGAGUGAUCGAAAGAUGAAAAGCACUUUGAAAAUAGAGUUAAAAAGUACGUGAAAUUGUUGAAAGGGAAGCGCUUGAGACCAGACUCGGCUGGGGAUGAUCAGYGGCCCUUCUGGGCCGUGCACUUGUCCCCGGUCGGGCCAGCAUCGGUUGAGGCGGUGGGAUAAAGGCCCGGGGAAUGUGGCUCCUCUCGGGGAGUGUUAUAGCCCCGGACGCAAUGCCGCCAGCCUUGACCGAGGGCCGCGCACUUUGUGCUAGGAUGCUGGCGUAAUGGUCUUCAGCGACCCGUCUUGAAACACGGACCAAGGAGUCUAACAUCUAUGCGAGUGUUUGGGUGUCAAACCCUUGCGCGGAAUGAAAGUGAACGGAGGUGGGAACCCCUCGCGGGGCGCACCAUCGACCGGUCCUGAUGUCUUCGGAUGGAUCUGAGUAGGAGCAUAGCUGUUGGGACCCGAAAGAUGGUGAACUAUGCCUGAAUAGGGUGAAGCCAGAGGAAACUCUGGUGGAGGCUCGCAGCGGUUCUGACGUGCAAAUCGAUCGUCAAAUUUGGGUAUAGGGGCGAAAGACUAAUCGAACCAUCUAGUAGCUGGUUCCUGCCGAAGUUUCCC